rnacentral:rRNA from 1 species
GACGAACGCUGGCGGCGUGCCUAACACAUGCAAGUCGAACGGAACUGUUUUGAAAGAUUUCUUCGGAAUGAAUUUGAUUUAGUUUAGUGGCGGACGGGUGAGUAACGCGUGAGUAACCUGCCUUCAAGAGGGGGAUAACAUUCUGAAAAGAAUGCUAAUACCGCAUGACAUAUCGGAACCACAUGGUUUUGAUAUCAAAGAUUUUAUCGCUUGAAGAUGGACUCGCGUCCGAUUAGUUAGUUGGUGAGGUAACGGCUCACCAAGACCGCGAUCGGUAGCCGGACUGAGAGGUUGAACGGCCACAUUGGGACUGAGACACGGCCCAGACUCCUACGGGAGGCAGCAGUGGGGGAUAUUGCGCAAUGGGGGCAACCCUGACGCAGCAACGCCGCGUGAAGGAUGAAGGUUUUCGGAUUGUAAACUUCUUUUAUUAAGGACGAAAAAUGACGGUACU